rnacentral:rRNA from 1 species
UACAGAGGUCCCAAGCGUUGUUCGGAUUCACUGGGCGUAAAGGGUGCGUAGGCGGUCGGGUAAGUCUGAUGUGAAAUCUCACAGCUUAACUGUGAAACUGCAUUGGAUACUAUCCGGCUCGAGGAAUGGAGGGGAGACUGGAAUACUUGGUGUGGCAGUGAAAUGCGUAGAUAUCAAGUGGAACACCAGUGGCGAAGGCGAGUCUCUGGACAUUUCCUGACGCUGAGGCACGAAAGCCAGGGGAGCAAACGGG